rnacentral:misc_RNA from 1 species
AAGUCGUAACAAGGUUUCCGUAGGUGAACCUGCGGAAGGAUCAUUACCGAUUAUAGCGAGCCCGGUUGCUUUUGCCCCGAGGUAUCGUGAAACCUGUAUUUAAAAACCCACGCUUUUUUAAUAAAAAAUUUAUCUUAUCAUUCAAUUAUGAUAAUAAUUUAAAGAUCACUUUCAACAACGGAUCUCUUGGCUCUC